rnacentral:rRNA from 1 species
UACGGAGGGUGCGAGCGUUAAUCGGAAUUACUGGGCGUAAAGGGUGCGUAGGUGGUUGGCUAAGUUAUCUGUGAAAUUUCUGGGCUUAACCUAGGGAGGUCAGAUAAGACUGGUUGACUCGAGUAUGGGAGAGGGUAGUGGAAUUUCCGGUGUAGCGGUGAAAUGCGUAGAGAUCGGAAGGAACACCAGUGGCGAAGGCGGCUACCUGGCCUAAUACUGACAC